UUUGGGUUUGAAGGUAAAGCAGUCAUGUAGACCUUCAUCAGACACUGUCUGUGGGACACUGGAGGGGUUCUACUGUCUAGACCCAACUAAGGAUGGUUGUAGAGCAGCCCAGAGACACAGCAGCUGUGAACCUGGUCAAUACAUCAGCCACACAGGAACAACGUCUACAAAUACUGUGUGUGCUGACUGCACUGGUGAUACUUAUUCAGAUGGAUCAUUAACAUCCUGCCAGCCACACACACAGUGUAAAUCCUUAGGUCUUCAAGAACUAAGACCAGGAACUCAUUGGUCCAAUUCUGAAUGUGGACCACAAUCCUCAAGAAUAGAACCUGGAAUCAUCAUUGGUGUUGUUGUGGCAUCAGUCCUAAUAGCUCCUAUAAUAAUAAUAAUAAUAAUAAUAAUAAUAAUAAUAAUAAUAAGAAGAAGAAGAAGGAUAAUUGUAAUUCUAAGGAAGGAAAGAAGUCUAACAAAAGUGACUUUUUCCCCAGUGACAGUAAAUGCUGUAGAGGUAUGUUGAUAUAAUCUACAUGUUGAACAGUCACUGUGCUAAGGUUAGCUGAGCAGAUGAUAUUAUUGUUCUACUUACUCUGGGCUGAACUAGAAAUGUUUCAUUGAGUAAUAUGUUACCUUCUAUUAGGCAUCAUCAGAUUUAGAGGAAACGCCAAGCAAUGUAGUACAAUGAAACAGAAGAAAGUACAGCAUCUUGCAGGUGUUAGUUUUGUAAAUGGUGAGUUGUCAAGAACUUCAGCCGCAUGACUAAAGGUGCUCUAUUACUUCACGUUAUCAAUGCAAUGAUGACAACUAAGAUAUGAUCAAAGUGCUAUGAAACUAUAGCUUCACUUUCACACGGUCCUUGUUCAUUACUGGUUUAUUCUCCCACAGAUUCAAGCUCUGACUGCACUCAUCAUUACAAAUCUACACUAUUUGUCAGUGUUUUUUGUGCACUAGUAUCCCAAAGUAUUAAGUGAAAUCAAUCAUAGAAAACAGUAUUGGCAGCAGUGACAUUUUUUUUAAAGGUAAGGCUACUAUUAUAUUAUAAAUAUUUAGGUGACAACCUGGUUGACUUGGCGCUCAGGUACAGCUUGCUAUGCGGUAGCAGAGAGAACAGUCUAUGACUGGGGUGGCUGGAGUCCUUGACCAUUUUUAGGGCCUUCCUCUGACACCGGUUAACCAAUGCAAAUGAAUUGGAAAACAUUCAACGCUUAUUAAUAGGACAACAUUUAGCGUAAUUGGGAACACAUAUGGCGCGGUGAGGAGUCAAAGGAUCCUAGUCAGGCUAUUGUUUGUGAAAUCCAGAUUCAAUAUAGGGCUUCAUGUGUAUCACAUCUCUAGGCGAUAGUGGGCUAAAUCAAUUAGAAAUAUAGCUGAAAUGUGCAGGUUUUGUCAUGAUCUGGGAUCAAAAUAGGCGGGGGUGAUUUCGGUUCCGUUUAGGCUAUAGGUUACGCAUAAGAACUCAGAUGCACUGAAAUUAAUAGCCUGAUUCAAUGUGAUUCUCCUGGAUAAA